CCCGGCUGGAUCCUCUCUAAAGAGACUGGAGCAAAAUCUGUUGAUUUGUCUCUUGGAAACUGGAAUUGCCCCUUACAGUCACAGCCUGGAGAGAUUAGCAUCCUUUCAUUAGGGUUCUUUUGACCUGGAGUUGCACGCCGUCUUCGGGUCUUUGUGGAAAUGGGAUCCGCUCAUAGGGUCUAACGACUGGACGCUUUUCGAUAGGCCAAGGAAGUGGCCUGGAAGAUCAGCGUGCCUUCAGAGUGCCAGAUUUUCAUGGCUCUGAAGGCAGGCAGUUUCGAGGUUGGUGGGUGAACACGGAAGAUUGAAAACAGCGAGCUGGCUGCUGGCUGCGUGCCCAGAGACCCGAGUUCUGGAAGCUCGGAAAAAGUGACGCAACGGACUUUUAACGAAACAACUCACUGACUUAUGGUAUUAUGUCUCCCUUCUUGCU